rnacentral:rRNA from 1 species
AAUGACUCUCGACAACGGAUAUCUCGGCUCUUGCAUCGAUGAAGAACGUAGCGAAAUGCGAUACUUGGUGUGAAUUGCAGAAUCCCGUGAACCAUCGAGUCUUUGAACGCAAGUUGCGCCUGAAGCCACUAGGCCGAGGGCACGCCUGCCUGGGUGUCAUGC